rnacentral:rRNA from 1 species
CUACUUUAUUACCUGUGACUCUAAAAUUUACGAUCUACGUGCAAACUCGUAGCUUUAAAUAAAAGACCAAAAGACCCCAGGAGCUUUAAUUUUACCCAUAAACUUUUAUGGGAAAAUUUAUACUGGGAGAGUAAGGGAUAUACAUCCCUCCUAUUUUAUAUUUCACCUUCAUAAUGAUGAAUUAAGCUACCCUGGGGAUAACAGGCUACUCUUCUUUAAAAGCCCAAAUUUACAAGAAGAUAUAGCACCUCGAUGUUGGCUUAAGAGUAUGUAAAAUGUAGCAGUUUUAUUUAAUGGCUUGUUCCGCCAGUAUUUUCUUACGUGAUCUGAGUUCAGACCGG